rnacentral:rRNA from 1 species
UUAGGCAUAUUAGUAAGCGGAGGAAAAGAAACUAACGAGGAUUCCCUUAGUAGCUGCGAGCGAACAGGGAAAAGCCCAGCACUGAAUCCCGGGGGCCUCGCCUCCAGGGAAAUGUAGUGUUUGGGAGGGUCCAUACACCCGAUACCGUCGCACUGCGUCCAAGUCCAUCUUGAAAGAGGCCACGGUCCCGAGAGGGUGCCAGGCCCGUGGUAGGCCAGUGCAGGUGUUGGGUGGACCUCUCCUCAGAGUCAGGUUGCUUGAGAGUGCAGCCCUAAGCGGGUGGUAAACUCCAUCUAAGGCUAAAUACAACCACGAGACCGAUAGCGAACAAGUACCGUGAGGGAAAGUUGAAAAGAACUUUGAAGAGAGAGUUCAAGAGUACGUGAAACCGCUCAGGGGUAAACGGAAAAGACCCGAAAUUUCCGAAGAGGGAGAUUCACGUCUUCUCGCGGGUUCGACGCAUCCAUUCCUCUCCGACGACCCUGCCCCCGCUCGGACUCGUCCGGUGCGUGGCGGUCGGGUUGCAGAGGGUGGUGUGGAGGCCUGCGGCGGACCGCACUUCUCCCUUAGUAGGACGUCGUGACCCGUCCGGUCAUGGUCAUAAGAGUGUUGGGUGGAGCCUGUCCGAUCGUGUUCGCACGUCUUCGGGCAGACCCCUGCGCUCCGGCCAUGAAUUUCGGUCGGUAUCGAAUGACAGUGUUAGGUCGCUUGCCGGCGGAGGAAACUCCUGCCAGUGAGUGCGUGUGGCUCUCGACAAGGUGCCGGGAUGUUGGGUCAAGGCGGGCUCCCGUCCGUCCGGCCCCACUCGGCCCUGUUGGUCUUGUUGCUCUCACGCUGGCCAAUUCUAUACGACACUCGUCUACGGCGAAUCAGUUUUGGGCUCUUGUCCGACCCGUCUUGAAACACGGACCAAGGAGUUCAGCGUGUACGCGAGUCAUUGGGUGAAAAAACCCAAAGGCGUAAUGAAAGUGAAGGGAACUUUACGUUUCUGAGGGAGGAUGAGUCGGUUACCCGCAAGGGGCUGCUCCGCACUCCCGGGGCGUCUCUUUCUCAUUGCGAGUGGAGGCGCACCCAGAGCGUACACGCUGAUACCCGAAAGAUGGUGAACUAUGCCUGGCCAGGACGAAGCCAGGGGAAACCCUGGUGGAGGUCCGCAGCGAUUCUGACGUGCAAAUCGAUCGUCGGAGCUGGGUAUAGGGGCGAAAGACCAAUCGAACCAUGAUGAGAACUCCGGCUUUUCUUGAACUUUGUUUUUGAAGCCGGGGGCUCGGAUCAGAGUGCCAAGUGGGCCAAUUUUGGUAAGCAGAACUGGCGCUGUGGGAUGAACCAAACGUCGAGUUAAGGCGCCCAAAUCGACGCUCAUGUGAAACCAUGAAAGGCGUUGGUUGCUUAAGACAGCAGGACGGUGGCCAUGGAAGUCGGAAUCCGCUAAGGAGUGUGUAACAACUCACCUGCCGAAGCAACUAGCCCUGAAAAUGGAUGGCGCUGUAGCGUCGUGCCUAUACUCGACCGUCAACGGCAAAAGUGGCUGGCGGGCAACCGUCGGCCGUUAAGCCUUGACGAGUAGGAGGGCCGCGGCGGCGUGCGUAGAAGGGUCUGGGCGCGAGCCUGCCUGGAGCCGCCGUCGGUGCAGAUCUUGGUGGUAGUAGCAAAUACUCCAGCGAGGCCCUGGAGGACUGAUGUGGAGAAGGGUUUCUUGUGAACAGCUGUUGCACAAGAGUCAGUCGGUCCUAAGCCCUAGGAGAAAUCCGAAGCGAUGGGUUGCCGUUAAUAUUUCAAUAUAAUAUGAAGGCACCCGUUUGGGCGAAAGGGAAUCUGGUUCCUAUUCCAGAACCUGGCAGUGGAACCGUUCCAAUUCGGGCCCUCUGAGGACUCGUCAGGGCAACCUGAAUAGACCCGGAGACGCCGACAGGAGGUUGGGGGAGAGUUGUCUCUUCUCUAUAAGCGAUCGAGUUCCCUGGAAACUUCUAGCAAGGAGAUAGGGUUUGGAUCGCGAAGAGCACUGCAGUUACGGCAGUGUCCCAAUCUUCCUCUCGGACCUUGAAAAUCCGGGUGAGGGCCACGAGGAACCCCACGCCAGACCGUACCCAUAUCCGCAGCAGG